rfam:Colius striatus contig34131, whole genome shotgun sequence.
AAAAAGGCUCUUUUCAGAGCCACCCAAUAAAUCACAAAAAAGUUGG